GAACGCUGGCGGCAUGCCUAACACAUGCAAGUCGAACGGAAACGAUGGGAGCUUGCUCCCAGGCGUCGAGUGGCGGACGGGUGAGUAACACAUAGGAAUCUGCCCAGUAGCGGGGGACAACUUGGGGAAACUCAAGCUAAUACCGCAUACGCCCUACGGGGGAAAGCAGGGGAUCUUCGGACCUUGCACUAUUGGAUGAGCCUAUGUCAGAUUAGCUUGUUGGUGGGGUAAUGGCCUACCAAGGCGACGAUCUGUAGCUGGUCUGAGAGGACGAUCAGCCACACUGGGACUGAGACACGGCCCAGACUCCUACGGGAGGCAGCAGUGGGGAAUAUUGCACAAUGGGCGAAAGCCUGAUGCAGCAAUGCCGCGUGUGUGAAGAAGGCCUGCGGGUUGUAAAGCACUUUCAGUAGGGAGGAAACAGCAGUGGGCUAAUACCCCAUUGCCUUGACGUUACCUACAGAAGAAGCACCGGCUAACUCUGUGCCAGCAGCCGCGGUAAUACAGAGGGUGCAAGCGUUAAUCGGAAUUACUGGGCGUAAAGCGCGCGUAGGCGGCUUGGUCAGUCGGAUGUGAAAGCCCCGGGCUUAACCUGGGAAUUGCAUUCGAUACUGCCAGGCUAGAAUGUAGUAGAGGGAAGUGGAAUUCCGGGUGUAGCGGUGAAAUGCGUAGAUAUCCGGAGGAACAUCAGUGGCGAAGGCGCGUCUCUGGGCUGCAUCUGACGCUAAAGCGCGAAAGCUGGGGGAGCGAACAGGAUUAGAUACCCUGGUAGUCCCAGCCGUAAACGGUGAGCACUAGGUGUAGGAGGUAUUGACCCCUCCUGUGCCGCAGCUAACGCAUUAAGUGCUCCGCCUGGGGAGUACGACCGCAAGGUUGAAACUCAAAGGAAUUGACGGGGGCCCGCACAAGCGGUGGAGCAUGUGGUUUAAUUCGACGCAACGCGAAGAACCUUACCGGGGCUUGACAUGCACUGGACAGGUGUGGAAACACACUUUCCCUUCGGGGUCGGUGCACAGGUGCUGCAUGGCUGUCGUCAGCUCGUGUCGUGAGAUGUUGGGUUAAGUCCCGCAACGAGCGCAACCCUUGUCCUUAGUUGCUAUCAGAUAAUGCUGAGCACUCUAGGGAGACUGCCGGUGGUGAACCGGAGGAAGGUGGGGAUGACGUCAAGUCCUCAUGGCCCUUACGCCCCGGGCUACACACGUGCUACAAUGGUCGGCACAAAGGGUUGCAAUACCGCAAGGUGGAGCUAAUCCCAGAAAACCGAUCUCAGUUCGGAUUGCAGUCUGCAACUCGACUGCAUGAAGUCGGAAUCGCUAGUAAUCGCGAAUCAGCAGGUCGCGGUGAAUACGUUCCCGGGCCUUGUAC
rnacentral:rRNA from 1 species